ACAGGAGCAUGGGAUAGGCAUGGUGGCCGGGGCUCCCUUCAAGAGUAACAUCAACUUCGCUCUGCUCAAGAUGAAGGAGGAUGGCUUUAUGGCCAAGCUCAAAAAAAAAUGGUGGGAUGACAAACGACAAUGUGACGUAGGAAGUGACAGUCAGAGAACAGGGCAGGUCCAGUUUGGAGUCAACCAUACCGCAGGCGUGUUCAUAGUCGGUCUGUUUGGCGUGUGCGUUGCGGCGUUGCUGUUUUUCUGUAAAAAGAUCUACUGGUGCAUCAAAAACGCCAUUCUGAAGCGGUUGAGACGAGACCUGAAGGCUGAAGAGAAUCACGCGGCAGUCAAGGCGAACGAGGAGGCGUUGAAGGAGAGACAAAAGCUGUUUGAGGGGGACAGGGGGGAGGCCGUGUGAAGGAAGGAGAAGUGGAAAGACUGAGAAAAUUGCGUGUACGAGAGUGUCGAAAACAAGAACAGGUAGAGAAAUGCCAAAGGUAAGGAAGUAAACUCUCAGCUGUCAAGAUUCAAAUACAAAAAGUCCAAAGUUUUCUAUCAACCGAGCUCUCAGGAAUUUGAUGUGCAGUCAAGUACCUCGGCAUCAGAAGCAAGUUCCUUUCGUUAUUAAUUUUCUUAAUUAAAACUUUUACCAGGAAUUCAAGACCACGGACUCAUAUUUCGAAACUAUGAUAAGUACUUGUAAUUAGACUUAUCAAAAUUGUCGUCUCACUUUUCUCUCACUUUCCAAUAGUCCCAUGUUUGUCUGAAAACAAGGAUUGCAAACUUUGUAACCUGAAUUUAUUCUCUCUUGCACUUGCUGUUGAUUAACUGUUGGUAUUUGUCUGUUGGGAAAUAGACUGUUCAGAUGGAAAACCCAUGAGGGAAGUGUAGGAAUGUAUGAUGAAGCAACAGCAGGAACCGAAGUGUGUGCUGAAGCGUUUAGGCGCUUCACUGUUACAUGAAACAGAUUGGCGUUCGAUACCCAUAUCGAAAGAUUUGUUUUACGGAGUGUGUCCGUCUGUCUGCUGCCUCAGUCCAAUUCGGACCUGACAGGCAUGGUUGAAGCAGCCCGCCUCCUAUAUAAUCCAAAUUGUAUCGAUGGAGGCGCAAAUAGAUUUGCAUUAUUUUUAACAGCAAAGAAUGUCAAAUAUAUUAUAUGAGUAGUAUCAGUGGGAGUGAUCGUAGCUAUUAGAUGGCACUGUAGGAAAAAAGAAACGUUUUUGUGAUGGUGAAAACUGCAGGGAGAACAGGGGCUCCUAGUCUACAUGCAAGGAACCUGCUUGCUGGGCCCAAAUCAUUGAUAAUACUACAAUCCGGAUAUCCGAAGAAAUCUGAUUAACCUAUGUUUUGUUAGGAUUAACAGGGGAAAAAAAUAAUUUGGGUGGCAUGGUAGCCCAAUACUGGACCCGUAAUCGUGAGAUUGAGGGUUCAAGCCUCAGCUCGGUCCGACGUCGUGCCUUUGGGAAAGGUACUUUACACGAAAUUCCUGUUUGGCGAGGUCCUUUCGGACAUGGAAGUUAAAAUCAGAAGCCCUGCCUCUUAAAUAACCUACUGGUGUUGAUAGGGGCGUUAAACCUAUAUCAUUUUACCAUUUCACCAAAGCAAUUUGAGUGACUUGUUUACAGAAGCUGAUCUUCUCGCUAGGAUUUGGUAAUAGAUGGGUAUUAGGCUUUUGGCACUGAGGUUUCGUCAUAUCUAAGUUUUACUGUGUCCUUGUGGAUAAAUUUUAAUGUGCAUCUGUUGGUCAAUACCAAUAUAAAAAGUACUGACCCUUUUGUAAAACUAUGACUGUAUUGAAAUUAAAACGGGACUAUAUUGAAAUCAUGCUGUGACUUUAUUAGAAUUAUUAAGGGACUAUAGUGAAAAUUAUUCAGGGAUGGGACUACAUUGAAACUUCCUUGGGGAAAAAUUGAAAUCAUAUGGGACUGUACUGAAAUUAUUAUGGGACUGUUUUGAAACUUAAAGGGAAUAUAUUGAAGUUUUAAGUAGAUUAAAUUUUAAUUAUUUUGGACGAUGAUAUUGAAAUGAUGGUGGGACUAUAUCGAAAUCGUCAUGGGAAUACAAUGAAAUUACUAUGGGGGCUAUUAUUUCCUGACUGAUGAUUCAUAGCAGGCUCAUACAUAAGCUGCACUUGACUUUAUAGAAGUGGUGAAUGUACUAUUGAAAUUGUCCAAGACGACCACCCAUUGUCGAGGGAAAAGUGGUUAUCUUAGGCAGGUUGAUGUCUUGGACAUUGUUAUUGUAAUGAUAAAAAAAAAAAUGCAAAGUGAAACGUGAGGAGUGGUCGUUUUUUACAAGUGGUUGUCUUGGAUAUGAGAUCGUUAGAGCAGGUUCGACUGUACAUUACUGUCUUGGUAUGAAGUUUUGUAUAUUAUAUUAUAUUCGUAUGUUAGCUGUCUUUUAGUUUCUGUUUGUGAGCUGUAUAUCCGGGGUUCUUUUAAUAUUACGGUUGCUUGACGGUUUGUUUGAUGAAUAGGCAGUCCGCCUAGUAACCGUAAGAUAGUGGUUUUGCAACCUUUCCAUGUUAAAACUUGUGUAACUGAGAAAACCACUUUACGCGAAUACUCCCUGCUUCACCCAGGUGGGAAUGAGUACCUGGCUAAAAAUAUUGAAAGAUAGUAUUAUUAUGCUGGUGUUUGAGCGCCCAUACAUAUACAGUAUCAGUUUGCACCGAAUGCUUCCGGGUACCUGAGAUUGGGUCAGAAAAUGAAAAGGUAUGUAGGAGUAAUAAUACUUUAUAGAUUGCACAGGACUUUCUCUUGAGCUAAGUGAUAUCUUGUUCUGACUCAGAGUUCCAACUACUUGUAGAGAGUUUUGUCACAGUUUGUCACCUUACAAUUACAAAGAUCUAUCUGGCAUAUUUGACUGUUUUGAGUUACUAAGACAAUGAGGUCAAAAGCCUAAUGUUCCAUUUGAUGCUCUAUCAAAAUCGUAAGAUUAUUCGAAGUUGUAAUUGAGAUAUUCAACGAAUUGCGUUAAAAAAAGCUUGACAUGUUGUGAAACUCAAAAUCAUGCAAGUCAAAUUUCUCUAAAAUAGGUACUGAGCAGAUAGAACUUAGUAAUUCUAGAGUUGCUAGUUGCUAAGGCUGUUGAAAAAUAUCCUCUUUGAAUCAAACUUCAUUAUGUUUAAUUCUCGGGUUGGGCAGAAUACCAGCUCUAUGUUGUACCAACUACCAUUUUUGCAUCUGGAAUUUAGUGUUUUCAUGGCUGUUUACGUCAAAGGCGGGAAAAUGGAAUAUAUGCGAGAUAGCAUAAAGCUGGUGUACUUUUGAAAAUGGAUGAGCGAAAUAAUCAUUAUACUUAUAGGGCUCAAUGAAAAGACGGAAUGUGCUACAUCAUGUGAACAAGUAAGCCGACUCAAGGAGAAUUUAUCUCGUUCAAGGUAUCUAUAAAACCUGUGGCUCAUCGUUAUUUUAUUAUUUUGUAUUUAUACAUUCAACUUAGGUAGGUUCACUCUUUUCAAUACUUUGAGAACUCUGUACCCAAACUGUAUCCAGCGACUAUGGAGUAAUGAAUAUUCUUGGCCGUCGCGCGCAGAAGACAGGUGUUAGAUUCUCGUGCAGAGAAAAAAGGGGAAAAAGGGGGGGGGGGGGUGUAAUUGAGUUAGGGCGUUGUAUCUCUAUCAGUCUGAGCAUGCCCUGACAGGCAAGGAUCGAUGCAAGGCACCUCCUUUGUUAUCUAAAUAACGUCGAUUUUUAGGGCGUAAAACACCCACAGUUAUAUAUAUUAUAGUGAUUCGACUGUAUUCUUUUGCUAUGAUACACCCUACUAUGGUAGGCUUAUUUCACUUUGAAUACUUUAAGAAAUAAUAUGUAGCCUAAACGACCUGUAACUUGAAACGGUGUGUCACAUUUUGUUUCUCCAUUGAGCUCUUCUUGUGCGAUAUAUCAUUAUCAUUAUUGUUAUUAGUGCUAUCAUUUCUUGUGAGGGUAUCUGUUAACAUGAUAAAUCUAGACUUCCACUGUUGUUUGUGCACGUAAGAAGAUUGACUGUGUUAAAAACCCAUCACUGUUCCAUUGAUAAAGUUCGUACCAUGCAUAGUAACAUGUUUCUCACACUUUUACUCACAGAUCAUGUGAUUUUCAUGUUUGCUGUCGCGAAACGAAUGGUUAUUGUUCAAACCAGGAAAAUGUUAGUCAUAAGAAUUGAUGAUAAUUGUGUGAAUUGCUUGCGCAUGCCUGUGUUUGUAUUUUAUUCAAUAAAUGUAUUUUUCUUUGCUCUUGCAGGGUUCCCACCUGCGUUUGUGGUAUAGCGUUUAGGCACUGCACCCUCGUUUGCAGAAGAUUUGAGUUCGAUUCACUUAAGGAAAGGGGGUUUUUAUGGUGGGUUUCUGUUUAUCUGUUGGAACAAAUCUGCCAUUUCAUCUUAUGUUGGGCCUGACUGGCAAGAUCAAAGCAGCCCGUCUCCUAAAUAACCUAAAUGGUAUCGAUAGGGCCGUAAAACAUCUACAAGUCAAAAACAGUAUCUUACCGUGCCCGUGUCAGGUGCUGAAGCUUUGACGGCCGGUCCAAGAGUAAAACAAACACCUUUCAAAACGAAACAUUCAAAAACACAACUUUUCAAAACACAUGGUUAUGUGUUGGGUUUUUUCAAAGAUACAGACUAAAGGGGCUGCUUAUAAUUCAUAGUCAAGCCCAACCCCACCCCCACCGCUUCUCCCAACCCCAUUUAUGCAGGCUCUCAUCUACCAUAGCUUUACAAUGACUCUCUUAGCUAGCUUGUUCAUUCAAAUUAACCGUUUCGUCUCCCCCCCUUCCUUCAAUCACCAUCUUUGUUGGGGAGCACACAGCGUCGCAGCAUCUUAGGAAGUAGGUGCACGCUCUUAUAAAUUAAAACAAAAAUUAAAGAAAAUGCUUUACUGCGUGUAACCAACAAGACUAAAGAAAUAAUAAUUGUGACAAGAGGCCAUAGAUAUAUACCGUACCCCUAGACCGCGCGCUGUCAUAGCUGCCGCUCUUAGCUAUGGAAAAAAAAAAGUCUGCGAAGGGUGGACACAGUUGGGCCUCAUCAUUACGCUCAAAUGACUGAGAAGCAAAACGCGAGCUUUGCUAUCGUCUAAUUUGCGCUGAACCCCUCCCGCACCCCUCCCCCUUUUCCCCCUAUGUUCUUCCUUAGGCUCAAAUGGUGCGUUCCAUAGUGAACCGAGCAUAUGUCAGGGUGCAUGGUAUAGUCUACGCCAUACCGUUACUUAAGAAUGGCAAAGUUCUUUCUAAUUUUUCUUUCUGUUCUUUUCCGUUUUUAGAUAUAAAGACCAUAAGGUCAAAAACCAAAAUGUGCUAUCUGUUCUAUCGAUAUCGUAAAAUUAUUUAGAGUCGUUAUCGAGACUUUCAAAGAAUUGCACUCGAAAAAGCUUGUCAUGUUGAGAAAGUCAACCUCUUGUACGUCAAAUUUCUCAAAACUAGGUACUGGGCAGAUAGAACUUUGUAAAUCUAUGGUAGCGAUAUUUUAAUGCAAGUCUGUGCAGAAGGCUGAGAAUACACUGUUCUAAGCUAUCUAUAUGUGAUCAUUUCUAAAGAUGUGCACAAGUUUUUCCUCUAUCGGACCGGGGUCGGUGGUGUAGCGGUUAUCCUCCUCGAAUUCGAGUUCCGAGUAGGGGGAGAUUUUUAUUGACUACCUCUGUCUACUUGCUGGGGUUCGGAAGCUCACACAGCCCUGGUUGGCCCUAGAAAGUCGAAGCAGCGCGUCUCUUAAAUGAUCUAUGCUGUGUCUGUUGUUGGCUUAAAGCACUUUGUCGGCAAGCUGAAUGUCCUUAACCCUGAAAGCAGUUUUUUUAGGAGAUUUCAAAAUAAAACGUUCCAAUUCCUUUACAAGUUGAACCUUCCUUAUGAGUCUUUUCUUGAUUUUUCAACAUUUAGAAUUUUGAUUUUGACCAAGUAUUUCACGGAUAUAUUCAAACGAUACCACAGAUUAAGAAACUGCAAUAAGCUUCUUUUUUUUUGUUCUCAAAAUUUCGGGCUAAGGACAUUUGAACUGUUGGCCAGCGACGUGAAGCCAUCAGGGACAAAAACUGCAGAGUUACAUUUCGUAUUAUUUCGAGUUAUGGCCCAUGGAUGUUUAAACAUAAACUCGCUACUCGUAAACAAUAAGGAUAAUCGAGCAACAGCAAGGUCCGUGUGUAAAUGAAGGGGAAAACAGUGGGUACAAUUAAUUUCCACCCCCCCCCCCCCACUCGGACAUUCUAAAAAUGAAUUAAACGUAACGUGGCCCCGCUGAGAGUGGAGACCAUGAUUGUAGUAGGUUGAACAAGUUUACUUUGAAUGACCUUUUUAAAUCACUCUUCAGGCCAUGAGGUUCGAAACUUCAAAACUAACAUUUCUGAAAAUCUCGUUAGUGUGACUGUCGUUUCCCCCCUGUAGUGUUCACUCCAUAAUCGAAUUACAAUUUAUAGCGUAUCACAACGCUAUGGAAUCAGGCGUUCGUCAGUUCUGCCAGUUUCUUUGAUUUCAUCAUGUUGGCGAGCGCCUAAUUUCACCACGAUCCACACAUUUUUUUUCUUCCACUCUGCCCGUCGUGUGGCGUUUAUGUAUGACUGUAGUAUUUUCCCCUUUUUUUAUUAUGCGAACUCCAGUCGAGGGUAAAAGCAAAUUUCGACCCUUCUUUCUUAAGCUAAGU